AGUGAUGACUAAUCUGGAAUAGAGUAAUAUCGAAACUAGUUAGUUAUUUCAACACAAUUAAAUUUCAGUACCUAACCAACACACGGAGACAACUUCCUGCCACGAGCGUUUCGCAAGAUGAGAACAGAGACAAGGUAUUCACAGUUUGGAUGGUGGAUUGCUUAUCCAAUACUAUUCAGGACAUUCACAAGGACAGAGGGAAUACAGAAUGUAGCUUAACAGCUCUUCUCUGCAAUUCCAGACAGGUUUGUUUGUUUAUUUAUCUAAAUAACCCAAGACACGGGAAUAUAAAAACAAGCAUGUAUGUUUUCUUCCUGUCAUUAUCUACUGGUUGAUUGAUUAAUUAUUUAUUCCCUCUGACAAACAAACUGCAGUUUGUCAACUUUGUAACACUUAUGUAUAUUAUUUUAAAAGACACACAUAGGGACUCAUUCAUUUUGAUGGUGCAUGUGGUGCUGUCAGUGGUAAUGACACUACCAAAGUGGUGGACAGGCUAUUAAUAUGAAUGGUAGCCUAUACAGUGUAAAUAUAAAUUAUUAUAAAGUGCAAAUAACGAUGCACAAUUAGCAUAGGUAGAGAAUAUGGACAGCACAAUAAUUAUGAACUAGUCUCAAAGCAAAAUAAAGUACAAAAAUAAAUCACUUUUUUUUUAAAACAUGAAAAACGACCGAUUUGUGUUAUAAGUGAAGAAGAUUCAAUUUACAUAGAUGUCAGUUAGGUCCUCAUAUUCAAUAUCUGCUUUCCAAUUGGCAACUUAUUUCAGAUCUAUCUGUUUUCCAGACCCAGGUCAAAUACACAAUAUCAAAUAAUGUUUUCAAAGUACUUGAGGUGAACUUGAUUUAGUUUGGGUCAAUUCCAUUGUGUCCAUUAUUUCGGGCAAACRAACCUAAAUCAAACUAACCUAAAUCAAGCACAGCUUUGAAAUCUAUUGACAUACAGUACCAGUCAAAAGUUUGGACACACCUACUCAUUCCAG